GCUUUUUGGCAUCUCCCUGGGGUGUUUGCUGAGAACUCAGUGCACCCGGACCGUCAGAUCCCUCUGAGUUGGUAAGCAAUCUUCCCUAGCAUUUAUUUAUGCUCAAGGAGGAGAACAAUGAGAAGAAAUUGAGACCCAAGAGAGCCUGUCGUGUGCAAAUGCAGAAGAACCAAGAAAGCUGUAAAAUUGCCUCCCCUCCCAGCCAGCCCUGUUCGGGAGAAUGGAACCUUCCAUUAACCCUGUUUAAGGGACUGACUUUCCACCUCUGUCUUUUUAUAGGGCGUGUCCCUUUCUCAGGAACUGGUUUCAGAGUCGAGGCUGGGAUCCUGAAAGUGGGAGGUUCUCAGAAGAGCAGG
ensembl:lncRNA